rnacentral:lncRNA from 1 species
ACACUCCUGGGGUUAGCCUUGUAGUUUGCUAGAAGCGGUGUAUUUGUCCUGCGGGCAACUCCGAAAGCGGGAAAAAUGUAGUGCUACGUGCUGCUAUCCUGACACUACUGAGUUGGACUGCUGAUAUAUCUGUGACGUGUCUGCAAGUAGAUCGAGCUGCUGCUGCUGACCUGUGAACUGAACUAUUGAUUUCUUGACAAUGCAGAUGUGAUUUGCACCAAAGAACCAUUUCUAAACAGGUUUGACAUUCUAAUGUUGCAUCGUAUUCUGUCAACCCGCACUGUAUGCAAUUACUAAAAUUGCAGGUAAAGGAUGUUCUAGAAACUUGGAAAUGAGGAGAAGAUGAGCCAUUCCUCUUAUUCACUUAGAGAUGUUAUGGCAUUUAAUACGUUUUAGUAACAAAAGGCUUCCAUGACUGUGACCACGUCAGCUCCUGGCAGCACCCCCAUAUGACUUCAGAGAAGAUGAUGGACAUCAGAGACCUUCCAAGUAGAAUUUGCUUCAAAUGUGGCAAAGCUAGGCACUAAAACUAAAGCUAGGCAAAAAC